rnacentral:rRNA from 1 species
CGUACCCUCGUGAGGGUGCCUGACGGUACUGUAGGAAUAAGCACCGGCUAACUCCGUGCCAGCAGCCGCGGUAAUACGGAGGGUGCGAGCGUUAUCCGGAUUUAUUGGGUUAAAGGUCCGUAGGCGGAUUAAUAAGUCAGUGGUGAAAUCCCAUCGCUUAACGAUGGAACUGCCAUUGAUACUGUUAGUCUUGAAUGAGGGUGCAGUGGUUGGAAUGUGUAGUGUAGCGGUGAAAUGCAUAGAUAUUACACAGAACACCGAUUGCGAAGGCAGAUCACUAACCCUAAAUUGACGCUGAGGGACGAAAGCGUGGGGAGCGAACAGGAUUAGAUACCCUGGUAG